rnacentral:rRNA from 1 species
UCCGAUCUGGGAGAAUGACUUGGCAUCAGGAGCCGAAGAAGGACGUGACAAGCUGCGAAAAGCUGCGGUUAGGAGCAAAUAUCCAUAGACCCGCAGAUAUCCGAAUGGGGAAACCCGGUACGGCAAUACCGUAUCACUGCAUGGUAAAUACAUAGCCAUGUGGAGGAAACCCUCUGAACUGAAACAUCUAAGUAGGAGGAGGAAGAGAAAGAAACAUCGAUUUCCUAAGUAGCGGCGAGCGAAAGGGAAAGAGGCCAAACCAGAGAUAGCAAUAUCUUUGGGGUUGCGGACUGCAUAAUUGAUUUAACAUCUUUAGCAGAAGUGUAUGGGAAGACACACCAUAGUAGGUAAUAGUCCUGUAAGCGAAAGGGAUGUUAACAUGGCAGUAUCCAGAGUACCACCGGACACGAGGAACCCGGUGGGAAGCCGGGGGGACCACCCCCCAAGCCUAAAUACUACCUGAUGACCGAUAGUGAAAAGUACAGUGAUGGAAAGUUGAAAAGAACCCCGGAAGGGGAGUGAAAAAGAAUCUGAAACCCUAUGUUUACAAGCUGCUAAAGCACCAUAUGAGUGCGAUAGCGUACUUUUUGUAGAACGGUCCGGCGAGUGUAUGUUGCAAGCGAGGUUAAGGUGUUAAGCACUGAAGCCGAAGGGAGACCGAGUGUGAAUAGCGCGUACAGUUUGCAGUAUACGACCCGAAACCGGGUGACCUAACCAUGGACAGGUUGAAGUGGAAGUAAAAUUCCAUGGAGGACCGAACCCACGUCUGUUGAAAAAGGCGGGGAUGAGCUGUGGUUAGCGGUGAAAUUCCAAUCGAACUCGGAUAUAGCUGGUUCUCAUCGAAAUAGCUUUAGGGCUAGCCUCAGGAUAGUUUAGCGGAGGUAAAGCACUGAAUGGGCUAGGGGGCUUCACGGCUUACCGAACCCUAUCAAACUCUGAAUGCCGCAUAAAUGUUUCCUGGGAGUCAGACUGCGUGAGAUAAGUUUCGUAGUCAAAAGGGAAAGAGCCCAGACCUACAGCUAAGGUCCCUAAAUGAAUUUAAGUGGAAAAGGAUGUGCAGUUGCGUAGACAACUAGGACGUUGGCUUAGAAGCAGCCACUCAUUUAAAGAGUGCGUAAUAGCUCACUAGUCGAGUGAUUGUGCGCCGAAAAUGUAACGGGGCUAAAAUUCAUACCGAAGCUUAGGAAUGAUAGUAAUAUUGUUGGUAGAUGAGCGUUGUGUAAGCCUGAGAAGCUACACCGAAAGGAGUAGUGGAGGUAUCACAAGUGAGAAUGCCGGAAUGAGUAGCGAGAAUUAUGUGAGAAUCAUAAUGGUCGAAAAUCUAAGGUUUCUUGAGGAAGGUUCGUCCGCUCAAGGUAAGCCGGGAGCUAAGGCGAGGCCGAGAGGCGUAGUCGAUGCACAUACGGUAAAGAUUCCGUAGCCACCGAAGUCGUUAAAUACAGGGACACAGGAACAUAGCCUAACCCCACCGUUGGUUGAGUGGGGCGUAAGGGAGCGAAAAUUAGUAGCGAAGUGGGUGAUUGUACACUGGCGAGAAAAGCUGUAUGUAUUGACAAGGUGCCCGUACCGCAAACCGACACAGGUAGAUGAGGAGAGAAUCCUAAGACCAGCGGGAGAAGUGUUGUUAAGGAACUCGGCAAAAUGACCCCGUAACUUCGGGAUAAGGGGAGCCUACGCGAGUAGGCCGCAGAGAAUAGUCUCAAGCGACUGUUUAGCAAAAACACAGGUCUAUGCUAAAUCGAAAGAUGAUGUAUAUGGGCUGACGCCUGCCCGGUGCUGGAAGGUUAAGGGGAAGUGUUAGAGCAAUCGAAGCACUGAACUUAAGCCCCAGUAAACGGCGGCCGUAACGAUAACGGUCCUAAGGUAGCGAAAUUCCUUGUCAGGUAAGUUCUGACCCGCACGAAUGGCGUAACGACUUGGGCGCUGUCUCAACAGCCCACCCGGCGAAAUUGUUGUACUGGUGAAGAAGCCAGUUACCCGCAACUAGACGGAAAGACCCCAUGGAGCUUUACUGCAGCUUAAUACUGGAAAUCGGUAAAUCAUGUACAGGAUAGGUGGGAGACUUGGAAGCCUGGGCGUCAGCUUAGGUGGAGUCAACCUUGGGAUACCACCCUUGAUUUGCUGGUUUUCUAACCUGCGGCCGUGAAUCCGGUCGGGGGACACUGUUAGGUGGGCAGUUUGACUGGGGCGGUCGCCUC